GACGAACGCUGGCGGCGUGCUUAACACAUGCAAGUCGAACGGAAAGGCCCUGCUUGCAGGGUACUCGAGUGGCGAACGGGUGAGUAACACGUGGGUUAUCUGCCCUGCACUUCGGGAUAAGCCUGGGAAACUGGGUCUAAUACCGGAUAGGAGCCAUUUUUAGUGUGAUGGUUGGAAAGUUUUUUCGGUGUAGGAUGAGCUCGCGGCCUAUCAGCUUGUUGGUGGGGUAAUGGCCUACCAAGGCGGCGACGGGUAGCCGGCCUGAGAGGGUGGACAGCCACAUUGGGACUGAGAUACGGCCCAGACUCCUACGGGAGGCAGAAGGGGGGAAUAUUGAACAAGGGGCGCAAGCCGGAUGCAGCGACGCCGAGUGGGGGAUGACGGCCUUCGGGUUGUAAACUCAGUUCGCUAGGGACGAAGCUUUUUGUGACGGUACCUAGAUAAGAAGCACCGGCUAACUACGUG
rnacentral:rRNA from 1 species